rnacentral:rRNA from 1 species
CCUACGGGAGGCAGCAGUGAGGAAUAUUGGUCAAUGGACGAGAGUCUGAACCAGCCAAGUAGCGUGAAGGAUGACUGCCCUAUGGGUUGUAAACUUCUUUUAUAUGGGAAUAAAAUGUUCCACGUGUGGGAUUUUGUAUGUACCAUAUGAAUAAGGAUCGGCUAACUCCGUGCCAGCAGCCGCGGUAAUACGGAGGGUCCGAGCGUUAUCCGGAUUUAUUGGGUUUAAAGGGAGCGUAGGUGGAUUGUUAAGUCAGUUGUGAAAGUUUGCGGCACAACCGUAAAAUUGCAGUUGAAACUGGCAGUCUUGAGUACAGUAGAGGUGGGCGGAAUUCGUGGUGUAGCGGUGAAAUGCUUAGAUAUCACGAAGAACUCCGAUUGCGAAGGCAGUUCACUGGACUGCAACUGACACUGAGGCUCGAAAGUGUGGGUAUCAAACAGGAUUAGAUACCCUAGUAGUC